rnacentral:rRNA from 1 species
GGGGGCGGCAUCUAUCAUGCAGUCGAGCGGACCGACGGGAGCUUGCUCCCUUAGGUCAGCGGCGGACGGGUGAGUAACACGUGGGUAACCUGCCUGUAAGACUGGGAUAACUCCGGGAAACCGGGGCUAAUACCGGAUGCUUGAUUGAACCGCAUGGUUCAAUCAUAAAAGGUGGCUUUUAGCUACCACUUACAGAUGGACCCGCGGCGCAUUAGCUAGUUGGUGAGGUAACGGCUCACCAAGGCCACCAUGCGUAGCCGACCUGAGAGGGUGAUCGGCCACACUGGGACUGAGACACGGCCCAGACUCCUACGGGAGGCAGCAGUAGGGAAUCUUCCGCAAUGGACGAAAGUCUGACGGAGCAACGCCGCGUGAGUGAUGAAGGUUUUCGGAUCGUAAAACUCUGUUGUUAGGGAAGAACAAGUACCGUUCGAAUAGGGCGGUACCUUGACGGUACCUAACCAGAAAGCCACGGCUAACUACGUGCCAGCAGCCGCGGUAAUACGUAGGUGGCAAGCGUUGUCCGGAAUUAUUGGGCGUAAAGCGCGCGCAGGCGGUUUCUUAAGUCUGAUGUGAAAGCCCCCGGCUCAACCGGGGAGGGUCAUUGGAAACUGGGGAACUUGAGUGCAGAAGAGGAGAGUGGAAUUCCACGUGUAGCGGUGAAAUGCGUAGAGAUGUGGAGGAACACCAGUGGCGAAAGCGACUCUCUGGUCUGUAACUGACGCUGAGGCGCGAAAGCGUGGGGAGCGAACAGGAUUAGAUACCCUGGUAGUCCACGCCGUAACGAUGAGUGCUAACUGGUAGAGGUUUCCGCCCUUUAGUGCUGCAGCAAACGCAUGAGGCCACUCCGCCUGGGAGUUACGGUCCGCAAGACUGAAACUUCAAGCAUUGACGGGGCCCGCAUAGCCGUGGGACCAUGGGUUAUCCGGAGUCAUACCCGGAAGCUACAAGCCUGACUCCUGUAGAACCCUUGAAGUGAUC